GACGAACGCUAGCGGCGUGGAUUAGGCAUGCAAGUCGAACGAGAAAGCCCCUUCGGGGGUUAGUAUAGUGGCGAACGGGUGAGUAACGCAUAGAUAACCUACCCAAAUGACGGGGAUAACUACUCGAAAGGGUGGCUAAUACCGGAUGUGAUCUCGGGUCUGCGGGCCUGGGAUUAAAGGUGGCCCCUGUUUCAAGCUGCCGCAUUUGGAGGGGUCUAUGUACUAUUAGCUUGUUGGUGGGGUAAUGGCCUACCAAGGCUUUGAUGGUUAGCCGGCCUGAGAGGGUGACCGGCCACACUGGGACUGAGACACUGCCCAG
rnacentral:rRNA from 1 species